ensembl:lncRNA
GCCGGAGCUCAGCGAGCCGCCAGCCGGGGAGCAGCUCAGCGAGCCGGAGGAGCAGCUCAGCGAGCUCUCGCUGCCAGCAGCCGAGGAGGGACCCGCUCAGCCGGAGCCGGAGAUCAGCGGACCGGAGGGACCUCCACGUCUAGCGCGGCCUCCUCGCCAUCUACGUCCGGUGCGUCCACGUCAGCGGUCGGCGCGUCAUGGGCCUGGUGCCACGCCUCGCUGUUGCUCACCGGAGCAGCGCCGCCGCCACCGGACCCGUGGCAGGCCACCAGAACCGUUCCGCCGCCACCGGACCCGUGGCAGGCCGCUAGAGGGGCAGCGCCGCCGCCACCGGACCCGUGGCAGGCCCCCUGAACUGUUUUGCUGCUGCUGCCAGACCCGGGGCCGUCCGCCGGAGCUGCUACGUCACCGCCGUUGGGCUCGAGGUAGGCCCCCUGAACUCUCUUGUUGUGUUGAUGGGCCGCCUGUGACUGUUUGUGGCGUCUUUUCGUUUUCUUUUUGCACCGCUGCGGGAUGCGCGGUCUGACUCUGAGACUGUGGACUGGGUCGGUUUGUUGUUUUUGCUUGUUUUGGUUCUGGCCCUCCGUCCUGGUUCCCCCGGCCGCCCGCCCUGGGUUGGUUGUGCUGUUUUUUGUUUUGGUUUUUGGGUCGUCGGGAGCCGACCCUUAGAGGGGGGGUACUGUCAGGGUCCUGGGACUGGGCGACCCAGGAUCCAUGAGCAGUCAUGUAUUAUAUUAUUAUUAUUAUUAUUAUUAUUAUUAUUAUUAUUAUUAUUGUGUAUUUUGGUGUUGCUCCCCCUUCCCUGUGCUUGUGUAUAUGUAUGUGUGGGUGGCUGAGCACUUGUUUAUAGGCGGCGUCAGGCCUGGAGGGUGUGGCCCUGCAAGGGGACUGGCCACACCCGAAGCCACACACCUGCUGCUGAUCGGGCCUCGUCGGGGGAGCUACUUAAGAGAGUCUUGGAGCUCCCACCGACGCGGGAUCAUUGCAUGAGACUCCACGGAGAGCGUGGAAGGCACGGAGAGCAGCGAGCACCGGGGGGUGCUGACACGGGAGCAGAGAGCACACGGACUAUUCACGGGAG